AGGGAGAGCACUCACGUGCCAAUUAGCAGAAAGAGAGUGUACAUUCCUGUUAUCAGUCAAAUAAGUUAAUUGGCAAGCGCUCACCUUUCAUUCUAAAGCAUCUGCCUAUUCCUCCCAUUCACGGGUUUUUCUUGUAAAGCAGGCAACCUAAAGAGACAAUUUGUACGGCUUUUCAAACUGAUUUAAAUAUUUUGUUACUUAAGCUUUGCCUUUUCACUGAGUUUGAAUAGGACUUCAAAACCUCGUUAUUUGUUCUGAAAGGAAACCAGUCUGAGGGUUUAUGGAUACCAGCUUGUUGCCGCCUUUAAUUCAGUUCCUGGUGGGAUGCUCUGGGAUUCUUUGUUUUCCUCAUCUUUUCUCCAGACAGCUAAUGUCUUAAGUUGCUGAAACCUGAUUUUAUGCAAACUGCUUCGCCAUUACUUGCAAAUGACUUACAAACUGUAAUGUAGCAAUAAGAUGAAGUGGAAUAUUUUCAUAUCUGGAUUAACUCUGUACUAGACUAUGAACUGAAUCACACCUGAAGAGAAAUAAGAGCUCCUGUGCAGAUGGACUUUGCUAAAGAUGAAGUGACAAGGAACAUCAGAGGAUUUUGGUUCUCACUUGUUAGUGCAUCCAUCUUCUGUUUGGGUUCCCUCUGAGUUCAGCUCUUUUAUCUGUUUUUCAGUUCACACAGAAAAGAGCCCUACUUUGAAACAUUCCAGGUUUGUUUAAGGAAAACAAUGCCCUAUAAACUAUUGCAAUUUUAAUUCCUUUCUAAGAAAAUAAUCUUUCUAACAUGUGAUUUGGGUAACAUUAAUUUUUGCUUACUCUCCCUUUUAAUGCAUGGAACUUUCUUUUCUAUUUAGUACAUGCAUGCAUCUGUCCCCUUUCCAUGUGUUGUAUGUCCUUUCAUUUCAUGCUUCUCUUUUGUAUCAGACCAGCUUUCAUCCAUUUUCCUUUCUCCCUAUGCUCAGCAACAUAUGUAUGCAUGCUUUUCUUUUAACCCAUCUGAGAGCCACAUGCUGUGCACCUGUCUCAGUCAAAUAUGCCUCCUGAGCCUGUGUUGCACAAGACAGAGCUGUUGACAAAGCUAACACCACACUGACAGUCCAGGAAAGAGUAGGGCAGGACCAGCUUUUACUCCUGGGCAGAAAAGCAGAUACUUUCUAGCAUACAGAGAAAUGAAGUUCAGUGACUGGAGGAAAGAAUACAAAGCAGAAAGUGUGGCUUCUAAGCCUCUUUGUGCCAUCAAAUUUUCAAAAACCCUGUAAAAUAAGGCAAGAUCUUCUGUUAGUGCAUAUUGCCAUAAUUGGUGUAAUUUAGAAUAUCUCUACUAUUUUCACUUAAGCUGAGGAUUUAGCACAUUUUGACAGUCUCAGUGACAGAAUAUGUUAUAGAUAUUUGCUUGACAGAAUUUAUACAAUUUAGAAUUGGCUUGCUUGAUUAAUUCUUUGUGCUUGUGCCUGCCCCCUCCACCUACCAUGCUGAGGGCUCUGUCAUUUAGCAUGACUCCAUUAUAUUCUAUUGAGCAGAGGCUGCAGGAGGCCAGACACAUAUGUCCUAGAACCAUAUAAGUGCUAUUUAGCUGAAUGUACUCUGCAAAGCCAGAGGCACUCAAGAAUCUACAGAAACACUCACAUUAGUGACAUAAUACUGAGUGUCUGCACCAUGUUAUGUAAAUGUUCAUUGUGAUGAAGUGUAUGGUGUUUGUUCUCAGCUGGUUGUACUGUUGUAUGUGUAAAGUAGGUUGCUGUUGUUCGCAAUAAUUUACAGCUAAUAGUGUUGACAGUGUUCUUGAUGAAGUUUAAAACAUGUUCAACUGCUGCUGUACUCUUACCACAAUUUUUUACUUUAUAGGACAACUUCCUUAACUUUCUGUAUGCCACUAGAGAGAAGAAUGGAAGGAGUUGUUUGAGGUAUACAAAAUUAAGGGAUGGGCACACAUCCAGGGAAUCUCAGAGGGAAAUAUGGGCAGUGUGCCAUACACUGAACUUGCUACAUAUGCGCACAUCUGAUCUAGCACGCAUACGCUAUGCAGAUGGUUAGCAAUUGCACAGAUCAGCUCCACAAGGCAUGUCCAGAUCCCACUUAUCCUGGGUGUCGGGAAAUCCUGGUCAUAUGGCCAGCCUGUGAUUUCUCUCCUCUUUCUCCUUCCAGUCCUGAAAUUAUGUCUGAGUAGGGAGGAGAAGAAAAAGAGGACAUGCUGAGGAAGAAAGACAUACCAGGCUCUUGUUAAUAUUAAACACGUUGAAAAUGGCUAGGUUACCAUAAACUAAGGAGCUUCAGGACCUCAGAUGAGCUAUAAUCUACUACUGUGUGUGUAUUUUUAGUUUGCUGUUGCAGUGUAAAAUGUAUUCACUUCACUUAAGCUAUGUCAUAAUAACUUGCUGUGAAUACUGAAAUAAAAUGCUAAUUUGAUACAGUUGGAAGAGAGCACAUGGCAAAUUACUGUAAUACCACUGAUGGCUGGUAACUCAUUUGCCUAUGGUAGCUUGAUCAGUUCUGAUCAAAUGCUUUUUCUCUUAAUCUACCUGCUCUUUACUAAUGGGCCUUCUCUAACUAAAACCUGCACAAAUUUUAAGUUCAAUUAAUUUAACUUUAUGAGUUAGAAUGUUUGUCUUAACCAAGUAAGCCAUAAUUAACCAUAAUUAGAAAUAGAAUAUUUCUUAAAUCCUCUUCAUUAAUCAGAGAAACUUAUUUUUCUUCACAAGACUGAAGUUUAGUUUUUCUAAAUAAAAAUAUAAUUCAUUUUACCAAAACACUUCUGCCUAAACAAUCUAUUUGAUACUGUUUUAAAGUAUCAGUCUAAUUUUAGGUGGUCUGACUAUUCUCCCAUUGGUAGAUAGAUUUUUUUUGCAAAUAUUUUGCAUUAAAAAUUGUGAUAAUUCAAAUCAGGAUCCAUAUUUUUCAGAAAAUAAAAGGAUACCAUCCAAGGAACAGAAACCAGCCUGAUCCUCUGCCACUGCAACUUUGCCAUUUACUUUGUUGGCAUCAUAUUGUGUUUUUUUUUUGCAGCUGGUCUUUGAAUGAAUUACCUAAAGGUCACCUAUAGGUGUCUUAGCAGAAUUUCUUUAGUUGCUUCCUGUGACAGUUUGAAAACUAAUGGUAAAUUGGGUUUAGAUGAGACAAGAGCAACUAUGCCUCCAGGAAUAGUUCCUUUCUGUUCCUAAAGAAAAUCUUUCUUUCUGUUCCUAGGAAAAAUAGCAUCAGAUUCAGAUGUCUUUCUCCCAUAAUAUUGUAUUGCCAAUACAAAAUAUUAAAUGAUUUAAAAAAUUAGUGUAUAAAUAUUUAGGGAGUUGGAUCUUUCCUCCAUUACAUUCUGCUUCUGUUUAAUUCUAGGAGUACUCACAGAGCUUCUUGAGACCAUCACUACUCAUAUUUGGGCUAAAUGUUAUUUGUGCAUUGUGUAGAUCUGGCUAAAAAAGAAAAAAAAAAUCAAUGUUUGGAGAAAAUAGAUUUUUUUUCCCCUCUUUUUGUUUCUGCAAGGUAGCCAGUGAAGAAUAAACAACCCUAUCACAGUGAAGAUGGUUUAAAAGAGGGACUUCAAUCAGUAGAAUUAAUAAGGCCUUAUACAAAUGUGAUACCCGCUGUAGUUCUUCUGGUUCUCAAAUGCUGCCAUUUCAACCACAGAAACAGUUUGAAAAUACUUCUCACUUUACUUAAAAGCUUUUAUAUCUGGAUUGCUUGCUUGUAUUGGAAUCCUUAUCCUCACCCCAGAGCACAGUGUUCAGAAUUUCUUCAAAAAUAUUAUCUACUUGAUUCACUUUUUUCUUCUUCCAUUAAUCCUCUCUUUCAUUUUUCACGCUGAAGACCUUUUUUUUCUUCUAAAAUUCAUGGAUUUUGUCCCUGAUUCAUUUCAGACAAUAUACUUUGCAUAUUACUUCUCACUGCAUUUAAUAAUGUCAUCAUUUAUAAACUGUGUAGGCAAUGUAUUCUUGUGCUAAUUCAGUUUUUGUUAACAAGUUAUCAUUUUGGGUACUUUGAGUACAAAUAUAAAAAUUCAGAUAUAUGCUCUAUAGUGUGUACAUAUAUAAAAACUUUCAAGUUGCAGCAAACCAAUGUCUUCUUUUUUCUGACUGUACUCUAUGUGCUUAGACUGCGAUUGCACAGAUGUGCUGCUUUUUUUUUUCCCAUAUCACAUACAUUAUUACUACUAACCUGUAAUCUAGCAAUUAUGCUACAGUUAAAAAUGGCUGUAAUUCUUUCUGAAGUUUAAUGUGAAGACUUUUGAACUGGAAACUGAACCUUAACUUUGAAAAUGCCUUUGUAUUUUAAUUGUAAAUAUGUGAUUAGUAUCACCAAACAAUUCAGGUUGAAAAUGAUCUCUUGAGGUUAUCUGAUUCCACCCCCUGCUCAAAGUUAGCCUAGCUUCAGGAUCAGAGCAACAUACUCAGGGCUUGUACAAUCAAGUUUUGAAUAUCUCCAAAGCUGGAAAUCCCAUAGCCUUUUUGGCUUUCCAGAGCUGACAUGGAAUCACAGAAUAGUUUGGUUUGGAAAGGACCUUCAAAGGUCAUAUAGUCCAACCUCCCUGCAAUGAGCUGGGACAUCUUCAACUACAUCAGGCUGUUCAGAACCACGUCGAGCCUGGCCUUGAAUCCUUGAAUGUUUCCAGAGAUGUCACGUCCACAACAUCCUAUAAGGAAGAAUCUUUUCCUUAUGGUCAAUAGGAACUUCCUUUGUUGCAACUUGUGACCAUUGCCUCUCAUGCUAUUUUUGCACAUCUGGGGAGUCUGAUUCUCUUCUACAUAAUCACUUAUAAUAUUGUUGAAGACAGCAGCUGAAUCCCCCUUAGCCUUCUCUUCUUCAGUCUGAGCACACACACUUCUCUCUGCCUCUGCCUGUAUGUCAUGUGGUCCAACUCUGUAAGUCAGUGGCUCUUGUCUGGACUUUCUCCAGUUUAUUGAUGUAUUUCUUGCAGUGG